rnacentral:lncRNA from 1 species
AUUCCUGCGGAAGCAUGUGUAUCAUUCCCCUAUGGUUUAUAACCCCUGAGUCUGGGGGUAAUGGCACGGGGACCCACCAGCUUGUCUGCCGCCAUCUGGGGUACAGUGCUGGAAGCGGGGAUACAGGGACAAAUAAGACACAGAUCCUGUUCCUAAAGAGAGUCUUUUCUAAGGCACCAACUACUUCCUUCAAGCAGCAGCCAGAGAUCUUUGCUUAAUGGCUGAGAAACACAGAGGAGAGACCCAGAGAGAAGGAGAAGGCCGCAUGAAGAUGGAGCAGAGACUGGAGUUAUUCAGCCAAGUCAAGGAAUGCCUGGAGCACCAGAAGCCGGAAGAGGCAAGGAAGGAUCCUCCCUUAGAGCAUUUGGAAGAGUGUGGCCCUGCCAACACCUUGACUUCAAACUUCUGGCCUCCAUAACUAUGAAAUAAAUUCUUGUUGUUUUAAGCCA